UACGUAGGUGGCAAGCGUUGUCCGGAUUUAUUGGGUUUAAAGGGUGCGUAGGCGGCUUUGUAAGUCAGUGGUGAAAUAUGGCAGCUUAACUGUCAAGGUGCCAUUGAUACUGCAGAGCUUGAGUACAGAUGAGGUAGGCGGAAUUGACGGUGUAGCGGUGAAAAUGCUUAGAUAUCGUCAAGAACACCUAUAGCGAAGGCAGCUUACUAAGCUGUAACUGACGCUGAGGCACGAAAGUGUGGGGGAUCAAAACAGG
rnacentral:rRNA from 1 species